AGGGUGCCAGCGGCCGCAGCUGAAGUUGGGCCGAGAGCCGGCGACGGCCCCGCGCCGGGGUCGCAGGUGACGCGCGAGGGAUCCCAGGUUGGCGGGCGGGGCGCCCCUCAGAGGCCGCCCUCCCGCGGGGGCUGCGGGGGGUCGGGCUGGGCAGGCGCGGCGGGGCUCGGACGCCCAAGUUGGAGGGGACGGGGGUGGGGUCAAUCCCUCCGCCCGCCCACCCGGCAGUGCCUCCAGGCGCAGGGCAGCCCCUGCCCACCGCACACUGCGCUGCCCCAGACCCACUGUGCGUGUGACAGCGGCUGAUCUGUGCCUGGGCAGCGCGACCCUCCUGGCCCCGUGUCCGGGUCUGGCGGGCAGGCGAGCGGCCACACGGGGACGCGAGGGCAGCUGGAUACCGUGGGGAGGGGGUGCCCUAUGGACGGGGUGUGCCUGUCUGGCCAGCAGGGACGGCGGGUGGGGGUAAGCGAAAUCAUUCGGGGGCUUUGCUGCCCUCCGCUUGGUGGGGCUGAGGCUGGGCCAGAUACCCUCUUGGAGGGAACUUUCUUUUCCUUGUGUGUCCAGGGUACCAGUGUGCGGAGUUCCUGUUGCCAAGCUGAAGGUGGCCCUGGGCAGGCACAGGUGUGGUCAUAUCUUCAGCCAACAGGACCAUCCUCCGGAGGGCCACCUCUGGGGACUUCCUACGGGAAGAGAGUGACAGAUUUGGUGCUUCUGUGUGUUUCUGCCGCUUCAGUGGGGCCGCUGCGGGAGACAGCGGGUGGAUCCUCCAGCAGCCUGUCUGCUGAGCCUGCCUUCUCAAGUCUACUGUUAAAAUCAGGACCGGGUCGUGUCCGAGCCUACAGGCCCUGUCUCCGCUCCCCAGGCCUGCAGGAGUUGAGGGCUGCACCUGCUCGCUGGAGAGGGAGAGGCAGAUUUAGUGGACGCCUGGCAUGGACUCGGACUGGCCUUUGGAAGCUCCCUGCCCUGACGGGGUUGCCUGUCACCACUGCGAAGUGAGGCUUGGCAGGACCUGCACCUGAGAAAGGCUGUGUGUGGUCUUGGGGUCCACACCUGCAGAGCUAACUUACUGCCAGACGGCGACUUACUGUGGGCCACCCUCAGUGAACCGGGGUGUCCUCAGCUGGCCCUACAGAGCACUUCUGUGCUGGGGAUGAGUAGGAACUCUGGGCGAGGAGGGUCCCAGCGCCGCCCCUCGAUACAGCCUGGCUCUGCCCUCUGCCCGUACUUACACCAGGUGGGAUCCCUGCCCUGCAUUGCCUGGGGAUUGGCUGGGCUUGGGCCCGCCCUGCUGUGGAACUGGAUGUUUUCAGGGAGCCCAGCCUUUCCUCAUGUCAACACAGUUCACAAUAUAGUUUUCAAAGUACAGUUUAAAACUCAAAAGUAAACUUUUCAGCAACUCAAAGGUUUGCUGAGUGAUCUGAAGCACUCUGGCCACUUUUUGGGGCCAUGGGAUUUGGUUCACCUGAAACAGCCAGUGAGAGGCCGGGUGUGGUGGCUCACACCCGUAAUCCCAACACUUCAGGAGGCAGACGCGGGUGAUCGCUCACUUGAGAUCAGGAGUUCAAGACCAGCCUGGGCAACAUGGUGAAACCUCGUCUCUACUAAAAAUACAAAAAUUAGCUAGGCAUGGUGGUGGGCACCUGUAAUCCCAGCUACUUGGAAGGCUGAGGCAAGAGAAUCGCUUGAACCUGGGAGGUGGAGGUUGCAGCGAGACGAGAUUACGCCGCUGCACUCCAGCCUGGGUGACGAGAGACUCUGCCUCAAAAAAAUAAAAAAAUGAAACAGCCAGUGAGGAGGAAGGCUCCCCGCCUUCCCCCCGCCGGAACAUAGCCAUAGCUGCUGCUGGGACACCCUCUUGGUGGGGAAGAAGGCUGGUUAGCUUCAUCAGAGCCAGCAGCAGCAGACCAGGGACGGGCACCUAGGCAGUGGCCUCAGAGUGAACAGGAGUUCCUCAGAAACACACACAGGGACGGCGUGGCGCAUGCUCUGCCAGCUCCAUGCCUCCUUCCCAUUGUGGGGCUGGGGUACGUAGGGCAGAGCUCAUGACCUCCGGGAGGACAUGGGGGUGGGCUCUGGAUGGCACCUGGCAUUGCCCCCUGCUGGCCUAUGUGACGGUGUGGAGGGCUGGUCACAGAGGUACGACCAUCCCUCCAGAAUGUGGGUCGGGGCUGUGGAUGGAGGAGUAGGCCCCUCAUAUCCCAGGCCUGCUGCCCAGGCACAACCCACUUGGCCUAUGCAUUCCAGGCUCCAUCCCAUGUGACUCUGGGCUUAGCCCCUUCUGGGGCCACAGGUCAGGCAGGUCCAGGCCCCAAGGACCUCCCAGUGACAGGCGACUGUGAGCUGGGCAGACAGGAGUGAAGUCAGGUGGGGGUUCUGGCUUGCUGACACCAGCGUUUGGAGCCUCCUGCUGCUGCCUGGCUUCCCUGCAUUCCCUGUUCCCUGCCUCAGGCAAGAAAUAACCAAGCCGAGUUGCCUCUGCACAGCAGUGAGCUCCUGGUGGCCCUGGCUUCUGGGGAGCCCUGUGGAUGGCUUCCUUGCCCAAGUCCAGGCCUUCUUGUUCCCUUUGUGUGCUCCAGAGAAAGGGGGCAGCACCAGAUCCAGAUCCAGGGCCAACCAACAGAAAGCUGAGUCCAUCCCAAACUCGCCCAUUCUCAGAGCACAAAGACCCCAUGAUCUAGGGCAAACUUGUCCAACUGUUGGCCCAUGGAACAGCUUUGAAUGCAGCCCAACACAAAUCUAUAAAUUUUCUUAAACAUUGUGAGUUGUUUUUUGUUGUUAUUUUGAGACAGAGUCUCGAUCUGUCGCCCAGGCUGGAGUUAGUGGCCCAAUCUCGGCUCACUGCAA
rnacentral:lncRNA from 1 species